rnacentral:rRNA from 1 species
ACGAACGCUGGCGGCAGGCCUAACCCAUGCAAGUCGAGCGCCCUUUCGGGGGAGCGGCGGACGGGUGAGUAACGCGUGGGAAUAUGCCCUUCUCUACGGAAUAGCCUCGGGAAACUGAGAGUAAUACCGUAUACGCCCUGUGGGGGAAAGAUUUAUCGGGGAAGGAUUAGCCCGCGUUGGAUUAGGUAGUUGGUGGGGUAAUGGCCUACCAAGCCGACGAUCCAUAGCUGGUUUGAGAGGAUGAUCAGCCACACUGGGACUGAGACACGGCCCAGACUCCUACGGGAGGCAGCAGUGGGGAAUCUUAGACAAUGGGGGCAACCCUGAUCUAGCCAUGCCGCGUGAGUGAUGAAGGCCUUAAGGUUGUAAAGCUCUUCCAGCUGGGAAGAUAAUGACGGUACCAGCAGAAGAAGCCCCGGCUAACUCCGUG